GGUUCAGGACGAACGGCUGGCGGCGUGCCUAAUACAUGCAAGUCGAGCGAAUGACGAGGAGCUUGCGUCCUCUGAUUUAGCGGCGGACGGGUGAGUAACACGUGGGCAACCUGCCCUGUAGACUGGGAUAACUUCGGGAAACCGGAGCUAAUACCGGAUAAUCCAUUUCACCUCAUGGUGAAAUGUUGAAAGGCGCUUCGGCGUCACUACAGGAUGGGCCCGCGGUGCAUUAGCUAGUUGGUGGGGUAACGGCCUACCAAGGCAACGAUGCAUAGCCGACCUGAGAGGGUGAUCGGCCACAUUGGGACUGAGACACGGCCCAAACUCCUACGGGAGGCAGCAGUAGGGAAUCUUCCACAAUGGACGAAAGUCUGAUGGAGCAACGCCGCCGUGAGUGAUGAAGGUUUUCGGAUCGUAAAACUCUGUUGUAAGGGAAGAACAAGUACGUUAGGAAAUGAACGUACCUUGACGGUACCUUAUUAGAAAGCCACGGCUAACUACGUGCCAGCAGCUGC
rnacentral:rRNA from 1 species